CCGUCCUCCUCUGAGUACAUUGGCUUCAAUACAAAACCUAGGAGGCUCAUGGUUCUCACCCCGUUCCAUAGACUUACACAGUAAUUAUGACAAUUUACAGAGGACAUCCUCCAYCCUAUCAGAGCUCUUGCAGCAUGAACUGACAUUUUGUCCACCCAAUCAAAGGAUCAGAGAAUGAAUCUAGUACUGGYAGCAUAAGCUACAACUAGCUAGCACUGCAGUGCAUAAAAUGUGGUCAGUAGUUAACUCAAAAAGAGAGAAAGACAAUAGUUGAACAGUUUUGAAUAAAUGCAUUUCUUCAAAAAUUAAGGAUAACCAUGAUAGUGAGGGAGAGAGAGAGCUAACUACAUUUCAUAGUAUUUUUUUCACAUUCACUUACUUAGCUAGCUAUCUAGUUUAGUCUACUCAAACACCCGGCUCAAACACAGAGGGACGCUAUGUUAGCUAGCUGGCUAUGGCUAUCAAACACUGGAACUCCUCAAGUCUUCCGGAGAGCAGUCUAGUCAAUGAUAGUGGUGUGUGGUAUACCGGACGAUUCCGCGCUGGCCCCCCUCCACACCCGCUCUCUAAAUGGCUGAGGUUGAGAUAUAAAAGCUGUUGUGGAGUAAGGACGAUGGCAUACAGUCUUGUGGUUCCACCUGCAUCACAUUUCACACUUCCACAGUGAGUGUUUCCUAUACAUUUUAAACUACUGAGCAGUCAACCAGCAUAAUUUGAUAUGAAAUCUAUUUUAUAAGAGUAUACUGUAGUGUGAUAACCUAUUUUUAUUGGUAUUUAUGGCAGAGUGUCAAGAAAAUAGAAAAUCACCUUUUUUGCAUUCUUCUUGUGGUAGCUGAGGAGCAUGGCCUCCAGUAUUCUAAGCCGCCAUCUUGCUUCCUCUCUGAGACCCAGCUGUGGGUUGUCUGCUUCAGGUAAGAGGAGAGAAACUUCUAUAUGGCUUACCAUAGUAGAUCUAUCAAAAUGGAUGAAUGCUACAACCAUGUCUCUGUCACUAACAAAUACAGUCGUGGGUGGUAAAGUCUACA
rnacentral:lncRNA from 1 species